rnacentral:rRNA from 1 species
CCUACGGGAGGCUGCAGUAGGGAAUAUUGCUCAAUGGGGGAAACCCUGAAGCAGCAACGCCGCGUGGAGGAUGAAGGUUUUCGGAUUGUAAACUCCUUUUGUUAGAGAAGAUAAUGACGGUAUCUAACGAAUAAGCACCGACUACCUCCGUGCCAGCAGCCGCGGUAAUACGGAGGGUGCAAGCGUUACUCGGACUCACUGGGCGUAAAGAGCGCGUAGGCGGGAUAGCAAGUCAGAUGUGAAAUCCUAUGGCUUAACCAUAGAACUGCAUUUGAAACUGUUAUUCUAGAGUAUGGGAGAGGUAGGUGGAAUUCUUGGUGUAGGGGUAAAAUGCGUAGAGAUCAAGAGGAAUACUCAUUGCGAAGGCGACCUGCUAGAACAUAACUGACGCUGAUGCGCGAAAGCGUGGGGAGCAAACAGGAUUAGAUACCCUAGUAGUC